CGGUUCACGAGAUACAUUCUGAUAGACAGACGGGCGGUCAACGGAGGCUUAGUAAUCGGAUCUCGUUGGCACCAUUCGGGUACGGAACCCUAAAAA